rnacentral:tRNA from 1 species
GGAGAGAUGCGAGAGCGGUUGAAUCGGGCGGUCUCGAAAACCGUUGAACCCUCUGGGUUCCGGGGGUUCGAAUCCCCCUCUCUCCGCUA